rnacentral:lncRNA from 1 species
GACUUGUUAUGAUAUGAGUUAUGUAAGCGAAUACUAGGUGUGGCCUCAUCGCCCCUGGUAUAGUUGGACGUACUACAGUACGUAGAGGGCUAUAGGUGACAAAUUCAUCCUUGAUGUGAUAUGUUUGUGUUGUGAUGCAUUCCAUGAAAGCAUAUGAUAUAAUGAACUGUUUUCUUUAUGGUUUCCGCUCACUGGGCUUUUUAGCUCACCCCUCUCCCCUAACCCCCAGAUUUGCAGGUACGGGAUAGAUAGAGAAGGCUAUGAAGAGAAAAGUCACAUGUUUGUAAUAGAUAGAUUGUGGACAUGACAAAUUUG